GUCACAUGGGUCGUGACAAUGUUGAAUAAUAGAGCAAUGCUUUUUGUGUACUGAGACGUUAUGCUACGAAUGCUAUUCGCGAAUGGACAGAGUCUCAAGUUAACUCUCCCCACCGUCUUUCUCUUUAUCUAUAGCUUGUUCUGCCAUUGGUGAAGGGAAGCCAUGCUCCAUUUCUAGGAAUUUCAACACUGUACUCCACUGGAACAAGCUCGACAGCCCAGAUGAAGGGGUUCUUAACAGUGUCCAUUACAAAAAGACACGGAGAGCCAUACAAGCCGAAGAUUGAGUGCCAGAACGUCACCACUCUUUCUUGUGACCUCACUGCAGAGACACCAUACAUCUAUCAUAAUUCCUACUUUGCUGAGGUUUUCCGCCGACAGUCACUCACUAGGCCGUACAGCACUGUUUAAACCUCUGAGAGACACUGUCAUAAGACUCCCAACGAGGAGAUGUCCAAUAGUACCAGCUUUUCCUACCAUGACCCUCCAACCUUCUAUAUCCUCAAACAUCACUCAUCCUAGCUGGGCAGCACAGGUCCAUAAAGACACAACUGGAGAGUUUGUCCUCAAAACAACAACAAUCUACAAAACAACAACGUAAUGUACUGUGGCUAUGUGGUCUACACCCCGACUCGAGAAAUGUACCGAAAUGCCAGUGAGAGCCGUACAUUCUGUGUGGCAUUACCAGAAACUGACAACAAGCAACGUCCCACCUCCAAUAUGGCACCCUCCAGGAGCCAUCACCUACUCCAUUGCCAAGUCGUAUCAUUACCCUGUAGGGUUCUCCUAUGGUGACCUGGAGACUGGUAAACUCCAGAUGGGGCCAAAGUUCACCAGCAGCGGAUCUGGGUCCUAUUCCCCCCAGGACGAACCCUCCUCUAUUGUCCAGCCCAGGCACUGUGACACCUACAUGGGCCAGCAGGGUCCACCCCCAGAGCACUCCAACAACAGCACCCAGUCCUCCAACAACUAUAGCAUGGUCGUAGUGCAGGUGGCUAAUAAAAGUGUGGAGGAAGAAUGCCAUCGCCAUCCAAGACAACAUCAACUCUUCAUGGUCAUCUGAAUCCAGUGACCACAAACCCAGUUGGGUUCAAGGUGGCCCAGUUUUGUUUUCGCGUGGAGCACCACCUGAGCCGAACCGGUGUGUUGGAGACAGGAAAUCAACAGGGCACCCCAUGGUACUGCCCACAUUGCGGCGUAUUGAUGGCCUACUGCAGUUGUCCACUUUGCUGCUCCAGCCAGAGACAUGUCCAGCAUGGCACUGCCUACCGACGCUGAGGGGCAGCCCCUUUUGUGGGACCUAGACAGCACUGGGCAAGGGGCAUCACUAUUGUCUGAUCUGGUCACCACGGGGGAGACAGAGUGGUUGGACCCUGGUACAGGGAGAGAGGAGGAGAGAACAAUAUACACCCCAAUCUCUCCAAUGUGUUUCAAUAACUCCAAUGACUCACCAUCUCACUCCAUACCUCCCAUCAACCUUGCAGACUGCGAGACCUCAUCAAUGACAUUCUUGUCUGGUUACAAACAACACUGGGUAACCCUUGCCCCUCAAGGUCUAACAGCAGAUGAUAACUUUGGGAUUUCCUCAUAUGCUCCACAACAGGCUUGGAUUGAUCAGGAGGAAGAAGCGGAAGAAUGAGAGGAAGGAGAAAAUGAACGAAUCUGUGAAUUCUUUCUGGGAGGUUGGGUGGUACAAAUUCUUUAGUUCCACUAAAAUAAUCUUAAGGGCCUUUGUGCCUGUUCGCUCUGUUCGGGCCCCCAAUGUACGUCAGAGACAAGUUCCGUCUCAGCGAGUCUUCACAAAGUGCAGGGAGAAGUUGGAAGGAGCAGAGAGAGGGUUUUGGUGGCGGUGCAGAGUGGGGUUUUCACGGUCCCGUUCCUGCCUGCUAUGGAGCUUGUGAUUCAGAAACAAGAACAGGAUUCUACUCCAGUAUCCAGCACACAUGGCCCCCUCAAUGGAGUCCUACUGAAUCAAAGCUAUAAUUUCGGCCCUUUUUUAAACAUUAUAACUAAUGUAGGACGUAGGAUCAAGUGUUGUAAAAAUGUAGGAUCAAGGAUAUAAGAUCAAAUGCUGUAAAAUACAUUUGUGUACAUUAUAUUGUGACGCUCUAUUUCAUUUGCAUACUGUGCAACAGUUCCAGCAAUAGGCUAGUUCUACCAAUAUACACACAUCUUAAUGUACACGAACAUAUUCAUUUAAAUCGUGACUGUGAAGUUUCUGUUUCAUUUGAAGAAAUGAAAUGGACAUCCGUGAUUCACGCUGGGUGGCAUAAGGUGGUAAAAAGCCAACCAGUCCUCUUGUGUCACAAUGUCAUUGGCACAAAGCUUUUCAUUUCAUCAUACUUUGUCUCUUUAUUUAUUGUUUCUAGCUCUUCAUAUUAUCUGUGUUAAUGUUACACGUUAUAUGCACCACAAUGCUGAGGAAAAUAUGACUGACAUUUUCACGAGUUUUAUAGCAACAAUUGAAAUUCAUAUUAGCAUUGAAGGUGAUGCACUGUAUACAUUUCUAAAAAUAUUAUUGUCAGAAAUACAAAAAGGGGCAGCGUGAGUUCGGUGAGAAAUGUGUCUUUUGACUUUGUUGAGUGUUUGGUCUUCGAAGUAUGUGACCUCAAUAACGUCUAGUCAUUGUUUGCUGCCCUUUUGAGUUGAUGAAAUUACAGGACAGGAGACAAAAGGGUUGGUAAUUCUUUACCAGGGUGUGGUGGUUAUGGUGCUCUGGUGAGCUACCAACACCAAAUGGCAUGUGGUAUCUAAGUGAAACUACCUAUGCUAUUACUACACUUUGAUAUAUUAACAGGCUAAAACACUGUUAAAACUGGCAGGUAUUCCUAGUUGAUGCUGUGAUGUGUAUCACAUAUUCAACAUAUAUGUACAGUAUA